CCCUUAGAUGUUCUGGGCCGCACGCGCGCUACACUGACGAAUGCAACGAGCUUAUAACCUUGGCCGAAAGGUCUGGGUAAUCUCCAAAUUUCGUCGUGAUGGGGAUAGAUUAUUGCAAUUAUUAAUCUUCAACGAGGAAUGCCUAGUAAGCGCAAGUCAUCAGCUUGCGUUGAUUACGUCCUGCCCUUUGUACACACCGCCCGUCGCUCCUACCGAUUGAAUGGUCCGGUGAAGCGUUCGGACCGUGGCCUUUGGACGGUUCGCCGUCUGUUGGCUGCGGGAAGUUCGUUAAACCUUAUCAUUUAGAGGAAGGAGAAGUCGUAACA
rnacentral:rRNA from 1 species